ensembl:misc_RNA Metazoa_SRP Metazoan signal recognition particle RNA
GCCAGGCAUGGUGGUGCAUGCCUAUAGUCCCAGCUACUAGGGAGGCUGAGGCAGAAGGAUUGCUUGAGCCCAGGAGGUUAGGCUGCAGUGAGCUGUGUUCUUACCACUGCACUCCGGCCUGGGCAACAUAGUAAGACCCUGUCUCCC